CAGUAGCCGCGGUAAUACGAAGGGUGCAAGCGUUAAUCGGAAUUACUGGGCGUAAGGCGUGCGUAGGCGGUUUGUUAAGUCUGUUGUGAAAUCCCUGGGCUCAACCUGGGAAUUGCAGUGGAUACUGGAUCACUAGAGUGUGGUAGAGGAUAGUGGAAUUUCCGGUGUAGCAGUGAAAUGCGUAGAGAUCGGAAGGAACAUCUGUGGCGAAGGCGACUAUCUGGGCCAACACUGACACUGAGGCACGAAAGCGUGGGGAGCAAACAGGAUUAGAUACCCGAGUAGUCCCUGUCUCUUAUAC
rnacentral:rRNA from 1 species